GAUCUCCCCUGUGGAUUCAAUGUAAAACUUGUCACCAGAGUGUGAAGAAAACGGAGGCGAGGGGGCAGAGAAGGAAGGGAUUUAUUUAUUUUCCCCUUUAUUGGUGGUUCGUCUCUAGAAGCUUCUCUCCCACCCCCCCACUUUAGAAAUCAGGGGUUCCCUCUUGUGGAGAAAGGAGUUAAAAGCCAUUCCCCUCCCCUGGCAUGUUUUAAUUACAGGCAAAGAAGAAAAGGCGAGGCUCCUGAGGUGAAGGGAAAAAGGGACCUGCGAAAAGGCUGCAAUGUGCAGGGAUUGCGAUGCUGGUUGCGUUUUGAAACCUUCCUUAGGAAACUAGAUUGAGCAGGCCGGAGUUGGGCUGACUAGGAAACAAAAGUAAAGAGGUUUCCCCCCCUCCCCUCCACCCACCUUCCUUGAGAUUUCGGAAAAAGACAAGAUUGCCCUUAACUACCGAUCUCCCCCUUCAAAGGGUAUGGUGUGAAGACAUGAAGUAGCAACCUAGAGCUGUUCAGUGCGAAAAAUUGCCAUGAGGUGAUGAUUCUCUGCCACUGUCUUCUCCUGGUGAAGAUUAAUUUUGAAUGAAUUUCCCCGGCCCCCAAUGUGAAUAAGGAUCUAACCACAUCCCAGAAAAAAGAAGAGGAAAACCGUAGAUUGCAGUCUUUUGGGAACUGCUGGGCUGACAUUGUGCAAACUAAUUGGAUAUUUCUCUCCAAACUCUUUAAAAAGCUCGUGGUAAAGGACCCCUGGACGGUCAAAGGCAGCUAUGGGGUUGCGACGCUCA